UACGUAGGGUGCAAGCGUUAAUCGGAAUUACUGGGCGUAAAGCGUGCGCAGGCGGCUUUGCAAGACAGAUGUGAAAUCCCUCGGCUUAACCGGGGAACUGCAUCUGAUACUGGAUGGCUUGAGUUCGGGAGAGGGAUGCGGAAUUCCAGGUGUAGCGGUGAAAUGCGUAGAUAUCUGGAGGAACACCGGUGGCGAAGGCGGCAUCCUGGACCGACACUGACGCUGAGGAGCGAAAGCCAGGGGAGCAAACGGG
rnacentral:rRNA from 1 species